AAACCAACCGGGAUUGCCUCAGUAACGGCGAGUGAAGCGGCAAAAGCUCAAAUUUGAAAUCUGGCACUUUCAGUGUCCGAGUUGUAAUUUGUAGAAGUGGUUUUGGGACUGGUCCUUAUCUAUGUUUCUUGGAACAGGACGUCAUAGAGGGUGAGAACCCCGUAUGAUGAGGCCCCCAGUCCUUUGUAAAACGCUUUCGAAGAGUCGAGUUGUUUGGGAAUGCAGCUCUAAGUGGGUGGUAAAUUCCAUCUAAAGCUAAAUAUUGGCGAGAGACCGAUAGCGAACAAGUACAGUGAUGGAAAGAUGAAAAGAACUUUGAAAAGAGAGUGAAAAAGUACGUGAAAUUGUUGAAAGGGAAGGGCAUUUGAUCAGACAUGGUGUUUUGCGCCCUUUGCUCCUUGUGGGCGGAGGAUACGCAGCUCACUGGGCCAACAUCAGUUUUGGGAGCAGGAUAAAUCUGUAGGAACGUAGCUUUCUUCGGGAAUGUUAUAGCCUACGGGAAUACUGCUACCUGGGA
rnacentral:rRNA from 1 species